rnacentral:rRNA from 1 species
GACGAACGCUGGCGGCGUGCCUAAUACAUGCAAGUUGAGCGCUGAAGGUUGGUACUUGUACCCACUGGAUGAGCAGCGAACGGGUGAGUAACGCGUGGGGAAUCUGCCUUUGAGCGGGGGACAACAUUUGGAAACGAAUGCUAAUACCGCAUAAAAACUUUAAACACAAGUUUUAAGUUUGAAAGAUGCAAUUGCAUCACUCAAAGAUGAUCCCGCGUUGUAUUAGCUAGUUGGUGAGGUAAAGGCUCACCAAGGCGAUGAUACAUAGCCGACCUGAGAGGGUGAUCGGCCACAUUGGGACUGAGACACGGCCCAAACUCCUGCGGGAGGCAGCAGUAGGGAAUCUUCGGCAAUGGACGAAAGUCUGACCGAGCAACGCCGCGUGAGUGAAGAAGGUUGUCGGAUCGUAAAACUCUGUUGGUAGAGAAGAACGUUGGUGAGAGUGGAAAGCUCAUCAAGUGACGGUAACUACCCAGAAAGGGACGGCUAACUACGUG